rnacentral:lncRNA from 12 species
CUUACCUGUAAUUAUAGAUGAUUGAUACAACAUAGAUGAUUUAUACAUCUACAAACAUUGAUGAUUUAUUCAAUGAAGUAAUUGACCUGAGGCUUCUGGCCAUCGUCUGCUGCCCCAGCCCAGCCCGGAACUUUCUGAAGCCGAGUAUCACAGAUGCCUGUUCUCUAUGUAUCAGUCUUCUUGCAAAGCAGCCCCAGAGACACAAAGGUGAAGCAACCUGUCAUGGAGUCAUGACACAACUAAAAGUCGAGAUCUGUUCCCUGAGCCUCUGCUUUAACUUCCAUCUUGCUGUCCUUCCCAGCUAAUGAGAUUAAAUAAUAAU